rnacentral:lncRNA from 10 species
UUCCCAUCCAGAUCUGUCUGAAUUCACUUCCUGCUGACUUCCUUUCUCUUGAUUUCUCUCAGUUCAUCCAGUCAUUCAUUCAAGUUCUAUUUAUUGAGCACCUACUAUGUGCUGGCACUCUUCUAGCCGUGGGGUUAUGUUGGUGAACAAGGUCACAAAGUCUGUGCAGCACUCAGGAAGCUUGGAACAUUGUCAUUGUGGAGGGAAUUGUUCAGACCUGAGGCAAAAUAAAAACCGAAACUGAAGGCCAGGUAUGGUGGCUCACGCCUGUAAUCCCAGCACUUUGGGAGGCCAAGGUGGGUGGAUCACAUGAGGUCAGUUCAAGACCAGCCUGGCCAACAUGGUGAAACCCUGUCUCUACUAAAAAUACAAAAAUUAACCAGGUGUAGUGGUGUGUGCCUGUAAUCCCAGCUACUCAGGAGGCUGAGGCAAGAGAAUCGCUUGAACCCAGGAGGCGGAGGUUGCAGUGAGUGGAGAUCGCGCCACUGCAUUCCAG